UACGUAGGGUGCAAGCGUUGUCCGGAAUUAUUGGGCGUAAAGAGCUCGUAGGCGGUUCGUCACGUCGGCUGUGAAAUCCCGAGGCUCAACCUCGGGUCUGCAGUCGAUACGGGCGGACUGGAGUACUGCAGGGGAGACUGGAAUUCCUGGUGUAGCGGUGAAAUGCGCAGAUAUCAGGAGGAACACCGGUGGCGAAGGCGGGUCUCUGGGCCGAUACUGACGCUGGAGGAGCGAAAGCGUGGGGAGCGAACAGG
rnacentral:rRNA from 1 species